rnacentral:rRNA from 1 species
GAUAAACGCUGGCGGCGUGCAUGACACAUGCAAGUCGAACGAAGGAUCGGGCUUGCGCGCUCGUUAGUGGCGGGCGGGUGAAUAACGCGUAGGUUACCUACCCCGCUGUGGGGUAUAACUGCCCGAAAGGGUCGCUUAUACCGCAUGUGGACGCACGUUCAGUCGUGCGGGUGAAGGCGCAAGCGGCUUUGGGUGGGCCCUGGGUCCGAUUAGCUGGUUGGUGGGGUAAUGGCUUACCAAGGCACGGCUCGGGAGGUGGGCUGGGAGGACGAUCACCCAGGCUGGGAAUGAGGCACGGACCAGACUCGGACGGGAGGGAGGAGUCUGGUAUUCUGCGCGAUGGGGGCUGCUCUGAAGCAGCCACGCGGCGGAAGGGAUGAAGGCCGUCGGGUUGCAAACCUCUCUUGUCAGGGACGAUGAUGACGGUACCUGGAGAAUAAGCCACGGCUAACUACGUG